rnacentral:lncRNA from 1 species
AAAAAUUUAAAACAUAAAGUCCUUCAACAGUUUCGGCAAAGUGCGAUGUACAAUUCUGCCCAAAAUAUUGCAAUCCAUGUUGGAAACUCCACAAUUGUCUGCUCAUGGACCUAGAGCAAAAAACAUAAAGAAAAUUGGAUAUAAAGUCCUCUGCCAAUUUAUUCAAAAAGCCUGCUUUGGCAUAACACUCUGUUAAAAUGUAAAGUCUUCGGCGACCAAAAAGUGCUUGUACAAUUCUGCCCAAAAUAUUGCAUUCUAUGUUGAAAACUCCAAAAUUUGCUGCUCAUGGACCUAGAGCAAAAAACAUAAAGCAAAUUGGAUAUAUAGUCCUUUGCAAUUUAUUAAAAGAACCUGCUUUGCAAAAACAACUAUCUGAUUAAACUAUGAAGUCCUUCGUCAAGUUUCGGCAAAGUGCAAUGGAGACAUCCAAAAAGUUCUUGUACAAUUCUGCCCAUAAUAUUGCAAUCUAUGUUGGAAACUCCAAAAUUUGCUGCUCAUGGACCUAGAACAAAAAACAUAAAGGGAAUUGGAUAUGAAGUCCUUUGCAAUUUAUUCAAAGAGCCCGCUUUGUAAAAACAACUCUCUGUUAAACUAUAAAGUCCGUCAACAAAUUUCGGCAAAGUGCGACGGAGACAUCCAAAAAGUUCUUGUACAAUUCUGCCCAUAAUAUUGCAAUCUAUGUUGGAAACUUUAAAAUUUAGUGCUCAUGACCCAGAGCAAAAAACAGAAAGGGAAUUGCAUAGAACUGAAUAGUGAUGAAACGUUGCCUUAUUGCAGCAGUACAGGAAAAAUAAACUGCAGCCUAUUUUAUGUAUACAAUGGCCAUCAGGCGAUGACUAGCCUUUUUUAAGAUAAAACUCAAUUGAACUAGUUUUCUCUGUAUUAAAAUCCAUCAAUUUGGCGAAGGUAGGUUCAUCAAGCCGGGGGAAGAAGCAGGCAAUAUGCCGAUGUCGGCAUGAGAGGGAGAGGGCCAGCUCACUUCAUGGCGGAUCUGGCACCAGGCAACACUCUUCCAGCUAAAUCUCCCUGUCGCCCAGCCUCUGUUUCAUCCUUAAAUUACGAAAAUAAAGAAAAUCAAGUCACAAGCAAGAAAUACAAUAAAUAGGAGAAUAACUGGACAACACCCGCACCUUCGAAAUUCAUCACGGACCGGAGAACACCAGACAAGACCAAAGGUGAUGGAUCCAUGUGCUACUAUAUCCAUCAGGGAACAAGCAAUUUUGCACACCUACAAACAAAUCCUUAUCGAAGUGUAUUACAAAUCCAUGGGCAAUUAGGAAGAAGCAAUCCCAAUUCGUUGAGGCGGACUUGACCAGAGGAAGUCGACCAGGUCCUGGAUUUGGAGCGGGGGACAGGGGGAUUACCUGCGGGUAGUGGAUGUGUUGGUGCUGAACCGGUGAGAGGAAGUGGCGUUCAUGGUCCUCGACAGCUUCAGGAGGAGGCGGAACAAACCUUGUCCGUCAUGGGAUCUUGGUGAGUUAGGACUCGCCAGAUCCGCAUAGCAUUGGUUGACGGCGAGCGAUCCCGGGACUCCAUGCCGCAUGCCGUGGUGGGGAGGGGAAUAAUCUGGUCGGAGACCUCCAGAUCGGGAGGGUGGCCGGCCAUGGAGGAGGAAGGUCUGGCUGGAUCUUGAGAUAAUGGAGACAGAGAGAGAGAUGAGAUAAUGGAGAGAGAGGACGGGGGUAGGUGUGGAUAGAAAGAAAAUGGUGAGUGGGUACGACGUAGGUAUGGGCAGGCAUGGUACAG